AUGUGUGCGCGCGUGUGAGCCAGGGGUGUCCGUGUGUGUGUGUGUGUCUGUGUGUCUGUGUCUGUGUGUCUGUGUCUGUGUGUGUGUGUCUGUGUGUGUGUGAGGCGCCAGCCACGCUCUCCUCCCUACACGUUGAUCUUAUUCGAUCGGCCGGGCCCCGCCGGGCCGAGGUGAGAAGAAAGCGCCGCGAAGCCCUCGGGCGCUGUGCGGCUGGGCCGGGGGGGAUGAGUCGAUCAGAUAGGCGAGGCCACGGCCGCUGAGCGCCCUGCGAUUCUGACCCGC